UACGGAGGGGGCUAGCGUUGUGCGGAAUGACUGGGCGUAAAGAGCGCGUAGGCGGCUUACCAAGUUGGGGGUGAAAGCCCGGAGCUCAACUCCGGAACUGCCUUCGAAACUGGUAGGCUCGAGUCCGGGAGAGGGGCGUGGAAUUCCCAGUGUAGAGGUGAAAUUCGUAGAUAUUGGGAAGAACACCGGUGGCGAAGGGGGCGCCCUGGCCCGGUAAUGACCUUGAGGCGCGAAAGCGUGGGGAGCAAACAGG
rnacentral:rRNA from 1 species